GACGUAGGGGGCCAGCGUUGUUCGGAAUUACUGGGUGUAAAGGGUUCGUAGGCGGUGCGGCAAGUUGGGAGUGAAAUCUCUGGGCUUAACCCAGAGGCUGCUUCCAAAACUGCUGUGCUUGAGUGUGGGAGAGGCGCGUGGAAUUGCAGGUGUAGCGGUGAAAUGCGUAGAUAUUCGCAAGAACACCAGUGGCGAAGGCGGCUCACUGGCCCGGUACUGACGCUGAGGUGCGAAAGCGUGGGGAGCAAACAGG
rnacentral:rRNA from 1 species